rnacentral:rRNA from 1 species
UACGAAGGGGACUAGCGUUGUUCGGAUUCACUGGGCUUAAAGGGCGCGUAGGCGGGCUGCCAAGUCCGGGGUGAAAUCUUUCGGCCUAACCGGAAAAGUGCCUUGGAUACUGGCGGCCUGGAGGGAGGUAGGGGCACGCGGAACUUCCGGUGGAGCGGUGAAAUGCGUAGAUAUCGGAAGGAACGCCGGUGGCGAAAGCGGCGUGCUGGACCUCUUCUGACGCUGAGGCGCGAAAGCCAGGGGAGCAAACGGG